rnacentral:rRNA from 1 species
UACGUAGGGUGCAAGCGUUGUCCGGAAUUAUUGGGCGUAAAGAGCUCGUAGGCGGUUUGUCGCGUCUGCUGUGAAAACUCAGGGCUUAACCCUGAGCCUGCAGUGGGUACGGGCAGACUAGAGUGUGGUAGGGGAGAUCGGAAUUCCUGGUGUAGCGGUGAAAUGCGCAGAUAUCAGGAGGAACACCGGUGGCGAAGGCGGGUCUCUGGGCAGUAACUGACGCUGAGGAGCGAAAGCGUGGGGAGCGAACAGG